rnacentral:rRNA from 1 species
GACGAACGCUGGCGGCGUGCCUAAUACAUGCAAGUUGAGCGCUGAAGGUUGGUACUUGUACCAACUGGAUGAGCAGCGAACGGGUGAGUAACGCGUGGGGAAUCUGCCUUUGAGCGGGGGACAACAUUUGGAAACGAAUGCUAAUACCGCAUAAAAACUUUAAACACAAGUUUUAAGUUUGAAAGAUGCAAUUGCAUCACUCAAAGAUGAUCCCGCGCUGUAUUAGCUAGUUGGUGAGGUAAAGGCUCACCAAGGCGAUGAUACAUAGCCGACCUGAGAGGGUGAUCGGCCACAUUGGGACUGAGACACGGCCCAAACUCCUACGGGAGGCAGCAGUAGGGAAUCUUCGGCAAUGGACGAAAGGCUGACCGAGCAACGCCGCGUGAGUGAAGAAGGGUUUCGGAUCGUAAAACUCUGUUGGUAGAGAAGAACGUUGGUGAGAGUGGAAAGCUCAUCAAGUGACGGUAACUACCCAGAAAGGGACGGCUAACUACGUG